GUUGAGGGGUGAAGUUGGAAAGAUUGGAGUGAAGAAGGGAGCCGAGAGGAAAGAUGGGAAGAUGGUGGUACAGUGUGAGUUCCUUGGUGACCCUCAGUAUGCACCACUACCAGAACUGACCGAUGAGGAUCUCGAGGGUCUUGCCGACAUUCCGUUGUGGCCCUCAGCGCUGUUGGAACAGCUCGACUUCACUCCCGCUCAUUGGAUAGACCCUCCAGCUACUUCCGUAGGGGGUACCGCCAGGGCAGAACCUGUAAACCAUCAGCCUGCAGCCCCCGCCUCUGGAUCACUACCCAUCAUCCAGGCCUCUAUCCACGAUCCGCCAGGCACUGUGAGUCCCUACGCCUACGGGGCAGUGGCUACGCUCCUACCAGUCGGUGCAGCGGUUGCUGGUGAAUACAUUGUGGGUGGGCCAUGUAUCAACUGUUGUAAAAAAUGUGCUGGUAAAUUAACUUUGGUAACUACAGCGGCUGAUGUAAAUGCCUUAACCAUUGGUCGUCAGUGUAAACUGGGUGCAUUGUCUGUGAAACGUAAUGACAGCAGAUU
ensembl:lncRNA